rnacentral:rRNA from 1 species
CGAACGGGUGAGUAACACGUGGGCAACCCUGCCCAAAAGAGGGGGAUAACACUUGGAAACAGGUGCUAAUACCGCAUAACCAUAGUUACCGCAUGGUAACUAUGUAAAAGGUGGCUAUGCUACCGCUUUUGGAUGGGCCCGCGGCGCAUUAGCUAGUUGGUGGGGUAAAGGCUUACCAAGGCAAUGAUGCGUAGCCGAACUGAGAGGUUGAUCGGCCACAUUGGGACUGAGACACGGCCCAAACUCCUACGGGAGGCAGCAG